rnacentral:misc_RNA from 1 species
GAUGAAGAACGUAGCGAAAUGCGAUAAGUAAUGUGAAUUGCAGAAUUCAGUGAAUCAUCGAAUCUUUGAACGCACAUUGCGCCCGUCAGUAUUCUGGCGGGCAUGCCUGUUCGAGCGUCAUUACGCCCCUCAAGUCCCCUGUGGACUUGGUGUUGGGGAUCGGCGAGGCUGGUUUUCCAGCACAGCCGUCCCUUAAAUUAAUGGGCGGUCUCGCCGUGGCCCUCCUCUGCGCAGUAGUAAAACACUCGCAACAGGAGCCCGGCGCGGUCCACUGCCGUAAAACCCCCCAACUUUUUAUAGUUGACCUCGAAUCAGGUAGGACUACCCGCUGAACUUAAGCAUAUCAAUAAGCGGAGGA